GGCGCGCGCGCAGCCGCACAUUCCCCACCCCGCGACGCGGCGACCGGCAGAUUCGACACAGAACCCGCAGUCCCUCAGAGACUCCGGAGGGCUCGCUCCACCUUGGGCGCCUGGGAGGGCUGCGGGAUCUCAGGUGCAGGCAGCUACAGCAGAGGCUAAAGCAGAGAGGUGCCCUGAAGAAGAUCCUAAAUAUAGGGUCCACGCCCAGAGUGGAGCCCAACAUGGGGCUUGAACUCCCAACCCUGAGAUCAAGACCUGAGCUGGGCUCAAAAGUUGGACACUUAACUGACUGAGCCACCCAGGCACCGCAUGUAUUUGUGGAAAUCUUUUUAAGCAGCUUUAUUGAGAGGGUGUUUGGGGAUGAAAUUAACAUUUAAAUCUGGAUUACCCUCCGAAAUGUGGGUAGGCCUCACCCAUUCAGUUGAAGAACUGAACAGAACAAAAAGACCAGCCUCCCUGAGCAAGAAGGAAUUCACCAGCAGACUUUCUUUGGACUUCAUCUGCAUCAUCCACUCUCCUGGGUCUCAAGCCUUCUGGCCCACACCGAAGAUUUGGACUUGACAGCCUCCCUAACAGUGGCGCCUGGGUGGCUCAGUCAGUUAAGCGUCUGCCUUCGGCUCAGAUCAUGAUUCCAGGGUCCUAGGAUUGAGCCCUGCAUCAGGGAGCCUGCUUCUCCUUCUCCCUCUGCUUUUCUGUCUGCCUACUUGUGAUCUCUCUCUCUGUGUGUCAAUAAAAUCUUAAAAAAAAAAGCUUCUCUCUCUCUCUCUCUCUUCCCCUCUGCCCCUCCCCCCACUUUCCAUCCCUUCAAUUCCAUUCUGUAACUACUGCCUUAGCUCUGACUUUUAGGACUUUGCCUAUUGCAAGGAGCUAGUGUCCAGCACUCAACUAUCUCCCCAUCCUUCUUCUUCCCAGGCCAUCCUACACACAGCCACAAGAAUGUUUCUAAAGGUCCAAGAGGGCCCCUUUCUGUUCAAAGGUCAAAAAUGUCUCCCCUUUGACCACCACAUAGUCUGAGCUUUUUAGUGCGAAGUUCAAGACCCUCCCAUAAAUCAUGCUAGUCUCCUUACAGACUUGUCUCCCAUUCCCUAAUAUGAACCUAUUACUCCACUGAAAUUGAACUACUUACUAUUCCCCAAACCUCUUCUGUGCUGUCCUCAUGUGAUCCCCCACCCUUACCCCACCUCCAGAGAAAAGCAGAGUCGGAGAAAACAGCUAGGAAGCUGUUGAAUAAUUCAGGUGUGGGCUGAUGCCACCAGGGAGAAGGUAGUGAGUGUGAGAAUGCAGAGGACGGCUGAUGGCAGCAGAUCUUCCUGAUUGGACACAGGGUUUGAAAGAAAGAGAUGAGUCAAAGGUAACUAAUUUUGGGCUUGAGGCAGCAAACACAAUUCCUUCUCCAUAACUGCUUAUUCCUCAUCCUUGCAGUUGUUGGAAGUUCAUAUUUAUUUCAUACUGCCUGUGUGACCUGGGACCACAUAUAAUUAAUGAUUUCUCUAUACUUUAGGUCACUAAUAUAUAUUUAUUUAAAAUAAUACAGGC